rnacentral:lncRNA from 1 species
CCGUCAUGGAGUCUACAAGGAAGAGCAAUGAUGGCGGACUCCUAUGAGGCUAGGAUAAAAAAGCAGUCAUGGCGAGAGAGUUUGUAUAUAAACCUGCAUGGUGGUGGAGUCCACGUGGAAAGCUGGUAUCUCACCCACCACAACUUAGAAGCCGAAGCCAACACACCGUCACGUACCAACCCUUUCAUCAUCAUCAUCAACGAAGCAAUUGCAACUUUGGGAGGACUUUGGGAUUGCUAUUGAGUUUAUCGAUCCUCAUAUAUGUUAAGCAUAUAUUAAGCUCUAUCUAAAUACAUAGUAUCAUCACUUUAUCUUCACAAGAGCCUGAAGGGUGUAUCAGAACAUAAGGCGAAAUUACAAAAAAAGCUCCUACAAAACAUAUUCAGAUAUACAAGGACGAGGAGAGCUUUGAGACUCACUGCAACAGUGUCGUAGAGAUAUGCGGUAGAGCCACACAGACGAUUUCAUAUCAGUUAAGAAACCUCAAGUGACUCAACAUUGACUAUUUUAUUCAAAUUCUCAACCAUCAGAACCAGUAUUAUCUAUGUCGUCUUCAGCAAAUGAAAGAGUUGAAGUUGCGAGAAUGAUAAAUAACCUGCUCAGAUUCAUACAACAGUACUGGCCCUCCAACACGGAAUUUCUGAAUUCAAUUCUUGUGCCAUUUGCAAUAUAUUUUUUAAAAAAUACCCCAUCACAGAAGAUGUGGCCCACCAGGUAAAAGCAAUGACUCUGGAAUUGUAAUUUGUUGCUAAGAGCAAGCUCUGCAAAUGCAACUUGCUCUGUAUCCUCUAGUGUCAGAAGAAUGAAGAAGAACGAGUAGCUAACAUUUUCCUUACCUAUUUGUCUCAAGAACCCUGUAAGAAAUU